rnacentral:rRNA from 1 species
UACGUAGGUGGCGAGCGUUGUCCGGAUUUAUUGGGCGUAAAGCGCGCGCAGGUGGUGCGGUAAGUCUGUCGUGAAAUCUCCCGGCUCAACUGGGAGGGUGCGGUGGAGACUGCCGGACUGGAGGCACUCAGAGGCCGGUGGAAUUCCCGGUGUAGUGGUGAAAUGCGUAGAGAUCGGGAGGAACACCAGUGGCGAAGGCGGCCGGCUGGGGGUGACCUGACGCUGAGGCGCGAAAGCGUGGGGAGCGAACAGG